rnacentral:rRNA from 1 species
AUUGAACGCUGGCGGCAGGCCUAACACAUGCAAGUCGAACGAGUGGCGGACGGGUGAGUAAUGUCUGGGAAACUGCCCGAUGGAGGGGGAUAACUACUGGAAACGGUAGCUAAUACCGCAUACCAUCGGAUGUGCCCAGAUGGGAUUAGCUUGUAGGUGAGGGAACGGCUCACCUAGGCGACGAUCCCUAGCUGGUCUGAGAGGAUGACCAGCUACGCUGGAAAUGAGACACGGUCCAGGCUCAUCCUGUAGGCAGCAGUGGGGAGUAUGGCACAAUGGGCGCAAGCCUGAUGCAGCCAUGCCGCGUGUAGGAAGAAGGUCUUCGGGUUGUAAAGUACUUUCAGCGGGGAGUCGUUACCCGCAGAAGAAGCACCGGCUAACUCCGUGCCAGCAGACGCGGUAAUAC